GACGAACGCUGGCGGCGUGCUUAACACAUGCAAGUCGAACGGAAAGGCCCUGCGUUUGUGGGGUGCUCGAGUGGCGAACGGGUGAGUAACACGUGAGUAACCUGCCCUUGACUUUGGGAUAACUUCAGGAAACUGGGGCUAAUACCGGAUAGGAGCUCCUGCUGCAUGGUGGGGGUUGGAACGUUUCGGCGGUUGGGGAUGGACUCGCGGCUUAUCAGCUUGUUGGUGGGGUAGUGGUUUACCAAGGCUUUGACGGGUAGCCGGCCUGAGAGGGUGACCGGCCACAUUGGGACUGCGAUACGGCCCAGACUCCUACGGGAGGCAGCAGUGGGGAAUAUUACACAAUGGGCGGAAGUCUGAUGCAGCAACGCCGCGUGCGGGAUGACGGCCUUCGGGUUGGGAACCGCUUUCGCCUGUGACGAAGCGUGAGUGACGGUAAUGGGUAAAGAAGCACCGGCUAACUACGUG
rnacentral:rRNA from 1 species